AACGAACGCUGGCGGCAGGCCUAACACAUGCAAGUCGAGCGAGGACUUCGGUCCUAGCGGCGGACGGGUGAGUAACGCGUGGGAACGUGCCCUUUGCUUCGGAAUAGCCCUGGGAAACUGGGAGUAAUACCGGAUGAGCCCUUUGGGGGAAAGAUUUAUCGGCGAAGGAUCGGCCCGCGUUGGAUUAGGUAGUUGGUGGGGUAAUGGCCUACCAAGCCGACGAUCCAUAGCUGGUUUGGGAGGAUGAUCAGCCACACUGGGACUGAGACACGGCCCAGACUCCUACGGGAGGCAGCAGUGGGGAGUCUUAGACGAUGGGGGAAACCCUGAUCUAGCCAUGCCGCGUGAGCGAUGAAGGCCUUAGGGUUGUAAAGCUCUUUCAGCUGGGAAGAUAAUGACGGUACCAGCAGAAGAAGCCCCGGCUAACUCCGUG
rnacentral:rRNA from 1 species